UAGAGCGUAGGUUAGUGCAGGAUAGGUGGAAGAGUGGUGAGUUCAGCACAGCAAGGAGAAGCUAGGAGGGUUGAGGGAGAAGCCAGAGGCCUGAGAACUAAGGGGCAGCCUGGGGAAACAGUAGCACAUCUGAAGAAGCAGACUAAGCUGCUUAAUACAGGGUCCCUGGGCUGGAGCCCAGAGCAGAGGGAGGGCCUGGGUUCACCUACCACUCCCUGAAGAAGGGGCAUGUAAGCCACCAGAAGGAGGAUUGGGCCCAGGGUGGGGUGGAAGACUGACACCAGAGGCUGAGUGGAAGAAUAGCCCAAGGGAGUGGAAGACUCUCAUAUGUUGGGAUGUCUUGUGAUGUUUCAAUUUAGACCUUUCCUUAACCUGGAAAGGGGUUGAACUUUGUGACUUGGUUGAGGUCUAAGCCACAGAAGACCUGGUGAGAGGCAAGUGGCCUGCAGGAGGUACUAGAGAUGAGGGUCGCCUACAGUAUUGCACCCGGACACAAAGGAAUGCAAUGGGUGCUAUACUGAAUGUAAAGGAGCCAGAUUGCACAAGAGCAAGCAAGUUAACUGAUCCUUAAAAGGACACCAUCAACGUGAAAUCUGGUCAGCUGUAAAAAGGGAAGUUCAAACCGCAAGACUGAGGUCUCCAGGCCUAUGAUGGAAUGUCCCUGCAACUUCGCAUGGAAGAAUUUGAACAAACAUUUACAUGUGGACAGCCUAUUAGACUAUAACUUACAGAAUUGAUUCUGUAAGGACUUGUAUAAAUCAGCAUCCUCACCAUCUCUACCUAAGAACUUUUCAUAUCUACUGGGAGCUGAGGACCAGAGAGAUCCCACAGGAACAGCAGAGCCAGGAAUUGAACCCAAAUCUAGUGUCUUAACUGUGCAAUGAUAAUACAUUCUCCCACAGUCACUAAAGAACAAACUACAAGUAGGCAAAGAAAACUGCUGUCAGUUGGUGUAGGAAGGUAGCAGUAUAUACUAUUUAUUCACUAUAGGCCCAGUCCUGAAAUCCUAACUGCAGCUGUACUGAAGGAUUUUCCCAAGUAGGUCAUGAGUAAAGACUUUGGGAUUUGGAUCUAAAAGAACAAGUGAAGAAUAAUACUUAAACUCACCAACAAUAACAAUAUACUAACAUUUUUAGAAGACAUGAUUUCUGAAUGUAUUUGAGAGAGAUUACAAAGAAUACUUUUGCUGCACCAACUUUUCAGUUCGUGCAUGCCUGAUAUGCAUUAGUUUGGGUUAUGAACUGUGUAUGAUCUUUCUCUAAUUUUGUCCAGGCAAACAAAAGAGCAUUCCACUUUUCCCGGAUUUAGGAUCAUAUUAUCAGAGAUGACAGUCUCAAAAAACAAAAAAAACCCUCCAUCCCCCAGAAGAACACCCCAACAAGGAACAUAUCAGGAACAUUAAAUCAGUAUUGGCACUUACUCUGUGUAUUAAAUAAGCUGGCUUAAUAAAGCAAAACAACU